GACGAACCGUCCGAACGUUAUUCGGUAUCACUGGGCUUAAAGAGUUCGUAGGCGGCCCGACAGGUGAGGUGUGAAAUCCCUCGGCUCAACCGAGGAAUUGCGCUUCAAACCGUCAGGCUUGAGGGAGAUAGAGGUGAGCGGAACAGAUGGUGGAGCGGUGAAAUGCGUUGAUAUCAUCUGGAACACCGGUGGCGAAAGCGGCUCACUGGAUCUUUUCUGACGCUGAGGAACGAAAGCUAGGGUAGCGAAC
rnacentral:rRNA from 1 species